AGGAAAGCGAUGACUGGGACGAGUACUUGGUCUUACGCCGAUGCAAGCGAACCGGGGAGUGGUGGGAGCCCGGACUUCGGCAGCCAAGGAAUAUCACCCAGGAGCGUCUCUUGAACCCGUUCAUGGGUGUAGAGAGCAUCGGCUGAUCCCGUUAUCGAUCGCCAAGCGAAGACUUCGUCUCCAUAUGCGUACAGCCUUAUGGCGAGAGCAUGAGGAAGUCUUAAUUAGGGUGGUACCGCGAGACUUCUCGUCCCUUUG
rnacentral:ncRNA from 1 species